AUUGAACGCUGGCGGCAGGCUUAACACAUGCAAGUCGAGCGGAGAUGAGGUGCUUGCACCUUAUCUUAGCGGCGGACGGGUGAGUAAUGCUUAGGAAUCUGCCUAUUAGUGGGGGACAACAUUCCGAAAGGAAUGCUAAUACCGCAUACGUCCUACGGGAGAAAGCAGGGGAUCUUCGGACCUUGCGCUAAUAGAUGAGCCUAAGUCGGAUUAGCUAGUUGGUGGGGUAAAGGCCUACCAAGGCGACGAUCUGUAGCGGGUCUGAGAGGAUGAUCGUCCACCCUGGGACUGAGACACGGCCCAGACUCCUACGGGAGGCAGCAGGGGGGAAUAUUGGACAAUGGGGGAAACCCUGAUCCAGCCAUGCCGCGUGUGUGAAGAAGGCCUUAUGGUUGUAAAGCACUUUAAGCGAGGAGGAGGCUACUGAGACUAAUACUCUUGGAUAGUGGACGUUACUCGCAGAAUAAGCACCGGCUAACUCUGUGCCAGCAGCCGCGGUAA
rnacentral:rRNA from 1 species